GGCUUCUCCAAAGGUAGUGAGUGAUUGCAAGUGACUGUUCACACUAAGUUACAGAUCGAACUCCUUGUUCUACUGUUUUCCCCCUUCUCACUACGCACUUCACUAGUCUUUA
ensembl:Y_RNA Y_RNA Y RNA